ACGGAAGGCAGCAGUGGGGAAUAUUGGGCAAUGGGCGAAAGCCUGACCCAGCAACGCCGCGUGAAGGAAGAAGGCCUUCGGGUUGUAAACUUCUUUUACCAGGGACGAAGGACGUGACGGUACCUGGAGAAAAAGCCACGGCUAACUACGUGCCAGCAGCCGCGGUAAUACGUAGGUGGCAAGCGUUUUCCGGAUUUACUGGGUGUAAAGGGCGUGUAGGCGGAACUGUAAGUCAGAUGUGAAAUCCCGGGGCGAAACCCCGGAACUGCAUUUGAAACUGCAGUCCUUGAGUAUCGGAGAGGCAAGCGGAAUUCCUAGUGUAGCGGUGAAAUGCGUAGAUAUUAGGAGGAACACCAGUGGCGAAGGCGGCUUGCUGGACGACAACUGACGCUGAGGCGCGAAAGCGUGGGGAGCAAACAGGAUUAGAUACCCUGGUA
rnacentral:rRNA from 1 species